UACCCAAGUUCUCACUCGGCAUUUAAUUCCUUUGACUCUUCCAUUUGCUGAAAAGAAUCUCUCCACCUUUUUAGGAUUGACUAGGUUGAAAUCUCUAAAAACUCUAGUGCACUCUGUUACUAAGUUUCCUUGAACACAUGAAAAGAGAUGAUGGGCUCCAAAAGUGCACAACUUAGUUAUUUUAUAAUUUAAAAAGAGGGUCCCUUGCUCAGCUCUAUCCACAUGA
rnacentral:misc_RNA from 1 species